ACAUCCCAUUCCUCUCUAUUUUCCUCACUGUGUCUCCUUCUCUCUCUCUCUCCUCGCUGAAACUCUCUAAUUCUCUCUCUACUUCGUGGUUUCUCUCUAUUUGCUCUUUCUUUUCAUUUUCACCAAACAAGAGAUAGUCUCGGUUUCCUUCAAGAUCAGAGGUCCCAAUAAUGUCCGAUUGUCUCGAAAUUUUAACCGAAGGUAGAUGACUUAUAAAGCAUCAUUUUUACCGAAGGAAAUCGAAUUUUAAAGGUUAGAUCUUCUAAAAUUAAUUUCGGAAGUGGCUGCCGUUUCCUACAGCAGCAGUGUCGAUUUUCUACACGAUCGGGGGUACAAACGUUGUCCGAUUGUUCUGAAAUUUUAACGGAAGGAAGUUGGGGUUUCCUGAAGAUAGAAUACUAGCUUUGCGAAGAAGCCUUAGCUCAUUUUUGUAACAUCAUAAAUUAAAUACAACUAGUACAUUUCUCAUUUCAAGAGAAAUGACUAUAUUUUGUAAA